AACCCUUGACAUGGGUAUCGCGGCCUCAGAGAUGGGGCUUUCAGUUCGGCUGGAUACCACACAGGUGCUGCAUGGCUGUCGUCAGCUCGUGUCGUGAGAUGUUCGGUUAAGUCCGGCAACGAGCGCAACCCACACUUCCAGUUGCCAUCAUUUGGUUGGGCACUCUGGAAGAACUGCCGGUGAUAAGCCGGAGGAAGGUGUGGAUGACGUCAAGUCCUCAUGGCCCUUACGGGUUGGGCUACACACGUGCUACAAUGGUGGUGACAAUGGGCCAAUCCCAAAAAGCCAUCUCAGUUCGGAUUGGGGUCUGCAACUCGACCCCAUGAAGUCGGAAUCGCUAGUAAUCGCGUAACAGCAUGACGCGG
rnacentral:rRNA from 1 species